CACUAGUGAUUGGUGUUCUUCCCGAUAUCUACACAUUCCACCGUUACACCGGGAAUUCCAGUCUCCCCUACCGCACUCAAGCCCGCCCGUACCCGGCGCGGAUCCACCGUUAAGCGAUGGACUUUCACACCGGACGCGACGAACCGCCUACGAGCCCUUUACGCCCAAUAAUUCCGGAUAACGCUUGCACCCUACGUAUUACCGCGGCUGCUGGCACGUAGUUAGCCGGUGCUUAUUCGAAAGGUACACUCACCCGAAGGCUUGCUCCCGAUCAAAAGCGGUUUACAACCCGAAGGCCGUCAUCCCGCACGCGGCGUCGCUGCAUCAGGCUUGCGCCCAUUGUGCAAUAUUCCCCACUGCUGCCUCCCGUAGGAGUCUGGGCCGUAUCUCAGUCCCAAUGUGGCCGGUCGCCCUCUCAGGCCGGCUACCCGUCGUAGGCUCGGUGGGCCGUUACCCCGCCGACUACCUGAUAGGACGCGACCCCAUCCCAUACCGAUGAAAUCUUUCCCAGACCACCAUGCGAUGGACUGGAGCAUCCGGCAUUACACCCGUUUCAGGAGAAUCGAAUUC
rnacentral:rRNA from 1 species